UACGUAGGGUGCGAGCGUUGUCUGGAAUUAUUGGGCGUAAAGAGCUCGUAGGCGGCUUGUCGCGUCGGAUGUGAAAGCCCGGGGCUUAACUCCGGGUCUGCAUUCGAUACGGGCAGGCUAGAGUUCGGUAGGGGAGAUCGGAAUUCCUGGUGUAGCGGUGAAAUGCGUGGAUAUCGAUAGGAACACUCGUGGCGAAGGCGAGCUACUGGACAACAUCUGAUGCUGAGGCUCGAAGGCUAGGGGAGCAAAAGGG
rnacentral:rRNA from 1 species